rnacentral:rRNA from 1 species
CCUACGGGAGGCAGCAGUGGGGAAUAUUGGGCAAUGGGCGCAAGCCUGACCCAGCAACGCCGCGUGAAGGAAGAAGGCUUUCGGGUUGUAAACUUCUUUUCUCAGGGACGAAGCAAGUGACGGUACCUGAGGAAUAAGCCACGGCUAACUACGUGCCAGCAGCCGCGGUAAUACGUAGGUGGCAAGCGUGAUCCGGAUUUACUGGGUGUAAAGGGCGUGUAGGCGGGACUGCACGUCAGAUGUGAAAACCAUGGGCUCAACCUAUGGACGGCAUUUGAUACUGUAGUUCUUGAGUACUGGAGAGGUAGGCGGAAGUCGUGGGGGAGCGGUGAAAGGCGGAGAUAGCAGGAAGAACACCGGGUGCGAAGGAAGUCUGUUAGACAACAACGGACGCUGAGGCGCGAAAGCGUGGGGAGCGAACAGGAUGAGAUACCCUUGUAGUC